rnacentral:rRNA from 1 species
ACGGGAGGCAGCAGUGGGGAAUAUUGCACAAUGGGGGAAACCCUGAUGCAGUGACGCCGCGUGAACGAUGAAGUAUUUCGGUAUGUAAAGUUCUAUCAGCAGGGAAGAUAAUGACGGUACCUGACUAAGAAGCACCGGCUAAAUACGUGCCAGCAGCCGCGGUAAUACGUAUGGUGCAAGCGUUAUCCGGAUUUACUGGGUGUAAAGGGUGCGUAGGUGGCAUGGCAAGUCUGAAGUGAAAUGCGGGGGCUCAACCCCUGAACUGCGUUGGAAACUGUCAAGCUUGAGUACAGGAGAGGAAAGCGGAAUUCCUAGUGUAGCGGUGAAAUGCGUAGAUAUUAGGAGGAACACCAGUGGCGAAGGCGGCUUUCUGGACUGUAACUGACACUGAGGCACGAAAGCGUGGGGAGCAAACAGGAUUAGAUACCCUGGUA